UGGUAGUAAGGUCGAAUUUUCUCUUCAGCAAGAUACAGACACCCUUGGUUUUAUUUGGGGCAGAGGACGAAGCUAGUAGUUUGUAGUGUUUGUUUUGAAAACGUGCCACAUCACCUUGUUUCAGAUGUGUUUCUUGGAUUAAAGCAAUGUCAGCGUUUUUACGGUAUAGGUACUCAAGGACACGUGUCCGCUUAAUAGCGGAGUUAAGACCAUUAACGUUAAGUGACAGAAUAAUCAAUGGUAGCAAGUGUCCAAGAAUGGUCCCAAUGUGAAGAUAGCAAGAGAGGAACGUCAGUGUGUAGUAAAAUACAAGGCCACCAUACCCCUGCCAGGUACUGCAAUGUUUCACUAAUGCUACUGGAAUUAUAACUUUGCAUAGAGAUAUGUCUGCAAAGGAGGGGACAGGGGAGGAAAAAACUAUAUACAAAAACUGGUGCAGACCGCACAGAGCUCCCUCCAUAGGUCUGCUAAAACACAAACUUCUGAUUGAUUCGUAACCGGUCCUUCCACUCCAACACAAAAAACUUGAGGGUCAGACGUGCACACAUAGUCAACGGAAAUUAAGUGGGUAAGUAUAUCCCACACCCUCCCGACUGAGUGAAAUUAUCUUAUUUAGCGAGAAGAAAAAAAAGAAAAAAAAGAAUAUAAAAUAUGAAUAUUUGCAACAAAAACAAAAUAAAAUAAUACAAAUGUACCUUAUAUACGUACAGUAACAACAGCCAGCAAAUAUGUGACCAUGAUAAGCUCAAAGAAAAGUAAAAUAAAUAAUUAAAAAAAAAAAUAAAAAUACAUAUAUAUAAAUAUAUACAUACAUGCACAUACACAUACACAUGCAUAUACAUAUAUAAACACAUACACAUAUACAUACAUACACAUGCAUACAUACACAAAAUAAGAUAAGAUAAAAUACAAAAAUAAAUAAAUAAAUAAAAAGUACCCCCGGUAGGGGCGAAGCAAGUCGCUAAAUUAAAUGUAACCAACCUUAACCCAUGAAAGUGAUCCUGCCGUCAACCUAGUUGAGGCCUGCUGCAACUAAAACAGGUCAACUAACCGGCGUUCAGUCAUUCAUGUCCACUAAGUUGCCUUCUCCUGCAUGCUGAUUGCCAGCGUCGUUGGCCGCGCUGUUUAGAUCGGGAGGAAAAGCGGGGGCCCCAUCAACACACUGCGGCGUUGCAGGAUUCAGCUUUCGCGGCAGGGAGUUAAUGAAAUCUUCUGCCAGUUGAGGGGAUUCGAAUGCCAUCUUCUUACCACCGUGCUCUAUCUUCAUCACGGCGGGGUAAAUGAGGAAUGGUUCCAGGCCCAUAGCCGUAGCCUUCUUCAUGACAGGAGAGAAACUCUUCCUCUUUGCUGUUGUAGUCGGACUGAAGUCAGGGAAGAAAAGAAGAGUGGUGUUGGUGGCAUGCUUCACUGGAUAUGCUUUGCGUGCCCCUUUGAGAAUUGCCGAUCUGUCCUGCCACCGUAAUAAUCUGAAGAUUAGGGUGCGAGGCUUCUUGGUAUUAGUAUCGCGGCCGUCGUACACCCGAUGCGCUCGUUCGAUGUCGAUGUCGCGCCCCUCCAACGACGGAAUCCACUUGGGGAGAUUAGCCUUAAUGUCGCCAACUGUAUCCGAGCCCUCCAGCAUUUCAGGUAAGCCAACAAGCCUGAUGUUAUUCCUGCGACCCCUGUCCUCCAGAUCUGUAAGCUUUGUCGUGAGAAGGUCGAGUUGUUUCUUCAGAUCGAUAACCGAUCGUCUGUCCUCACGCGCGGCGGCUUGCACUGAGUCCACUCGGUCUUGAGUGCGUUUAGCCAUCGCAGCUACCCUCUCGAUUUCCCCG
ensembl:lncRNA